rnacentral:tRNA from 1 species
AUUUAUAUAGUUUAUUAAAACAUUACAUUUUCAAUGUAAAAAUAAAA